UAGGCACCACAGGAUGACGAAUCCCAACCCAAUGUGACGUUACCAAACUGUUGCCUCGGCGGGGUCACGCCCCGGGUGCGUCCCAGCCCCGGAACCAGGCGCCCGCCGGAGGGACAGGCUGACGCUAUCUGUCCUCUGCAUUUGGACGUAUUUCUUACAGCUAUGAGCCAAAUUCCCAAUGAAUAUCCCCUUGCGGCAACCGAUCUCUUGGUUCUGGCAUCGAUGAAGAACGCACCGAAAUGUGAUAAGUAAUGUGAAUUGAAAAAUUCAGUGAAUCAUCGAAUCUUUGAACUCAGUUUGCGCCCGCCUGUAUUCUGGCGCGCCUGCCAGGCCAAACUCAUUUCAACCCUUGAACCCCUUCGGGGGAUCUGCGGUCGGAUCUGACCCUCCAUAGAGGUGCCGGCCCCAAAAUAAAGUGGCGGUCUCUUCGCAUCCUCUCCUGCGCGCUUCUUGAGCUCCUCGCACCGGGAGCGCGGCGAGUUCACUUCUGUAUAACACCCAACUUUUGGAGUGUCGACUACCGGAUCAGGUAUGAAUACCCGCUGAAAUUAUGCAUAUCAAUAAGCGGAGGAGA
rnacentral:rRNA from 1 species